rnacentral:rRNA from 1 species
UACGUAGGGACCAAGCGUUGUUCGGAAUCACUGGGCUUAAAGGGCGCGUAGGCGGGUCACCAAGUCCGGGGUGAAAUCUUUCGGCUUAACCGGAAAAGUGCCUUGGAUACUGGUGGUCUUGAGGGAGGUAGGGGCAUGUGGAACUUCCGGUGGAGCGGUGAAAUGCGUUGAUAUCGGAAGGAACUCCGGUGGCGAAAGCGACGUGCUGGACCUCUUCUGACGCUGAGGCGCGAAAGCUAGGGGAGCGAACGGG